UACAGAGGGGGCAAGCGUUAUUCGGAAUUAUUGGGCGUAAAGGGCGCGUAGGCGGCUUGGCAAGUGGAUGGUGAAAUCCCUCGGCUUAACCGAGGAACGGCCGUCCAAACUGCUUCGCUUGAGACCGGGAGAGGUGAGUGGAAUUCCCAGUGUAGCGGUGAAAUGCGUAGAUAUUGGGAGGAACACCAGUGGCGAAGGCGGCUCACUGGACCGGUACUGACGCUGAAGCGCGAAAGCGAGGGGAGCAAACGGG
rnacentral:rRNA from 1 species